rnacentral:snoRNA from 12 species
GUGCACAGUGAACACCCAAGGAUGCUGCUGUGGCUCUCCCUGGUCUCCUCUAUCUGUGCUACAGUAACUCUGAUCUGUACCUCUGCAUUGGGACAGUCUCCUCCUCUCCUACAUGUAUUCAACAGAUCAGAAUAAUC